UACGGGGGGGGCAAGCGUUGUUCGGAAUUACUGGGCGUAAAGGGCUCGUAGGCGGCCAACUAAGUCGGACGUGAAAUCCCCAGGCUCAACCCUGGGAACUGCGUCCGAUACUGGAUGGCUUGAAUUCGGGAGAGGGAUGCAGAAUUCCAGGUGUAGCGGUGAAAUGACGUAGAUAUCUGGAGGAAUACCGGUGGCGAAGGCGGCAUCCUGGACCGACAUUGACGCUGAGGAGCGAAAGCUAAGGGGAGCAAACGGGG
rnacentral:rRNA from 1 species